rnacentral:lncRNA from 1 species
CGAGAAAUCGUCUCACCCCAGCCAGUGUGACGGAGUGAGAGCAAAAGAAAGUUUUGAUAGCAGCGUACGAUUUAUAUUCAGCUGUAUGCUGGGCAGGUCCAACUUGGCAUUUCUUGGCUGUAUCUCUGAAGGAAAGUCAUCUUAAUCUCUAUGAGCCUCCAUUUCCUCAGCUGUAAAAUGGGAAGAUCUUCCUCACACUGCUGUGACAUUUAGUGAGUGCCUGCUGUGUGUCAUCCAUUGUGACAGUGUUGGGAACACGGAGAUGAAUAAAACAAGGCCCCUGUCCUGGGAGAGCCGAGAGGCCACCUGUCAGCUGACAUCUUAGGGAGGACACCAUCUACAUCCAAC